rnacentral:rRNA from 1 species
GACGAACGCUGGCGGCGUGCUUAACACAUGCAAGUCGAACGGAAAGGCCCUGCUUUUGUGGGGUGCUCGAGUGGCGAACGGGUGAGUAACACGUGAGUAACCUGCCCUUGACUUUGGGAUAACUUCAGGAAACUGGGGCUAAUACCGGAUAGGAGCUCCUGCUGCAUGGUGGGGGUUGGAAAGUUUCGGCGGUUGGGGAUGGACUCGCGGCUUAUCAGCUUGUUGGUGGGGUAGUGGCUUACCAAGGCUUUGGCGGGUAGCCGGCCUGAGAGGGUGACCGGACACAUUGGGAUUGAGAUAAGGCCCAGACUCCUACGGGAGGCAGCAGUGCGGAAUAUUGCACAAUGGGCGGAAGCCUGAUGCAGUACAGCCGCGUGCGGGAUGACGGCCUUCGGGUUGUAUACCGCUUUCGCCUGUGACGAAGCGUGAGUGACGGUAAUGGGUAAAGAAGCACCGGCUAACUACGUG